rnacentral:rRNA from 1 species
GUGCAGCAGUCGAGAAUUUUUCUCAAUGGGGGCAACCCUGAAGGAGCGACGCCGCGUGGAGGAUGAAGGCUUUCGGGUUGUAAACUCCUGCCAUUUGAGAACAAGUGUGAGCACAUAACUACUGCUCAUUUGAUAGUAUCAGAAGAGGAAGGGACGGCUAACUCUGUGCCAGCAGCCGCGGUAAUACAGAGGUCCCAAGCGUUGUUCGGAUUCAUUGGGCGUAAAGGGUGCGUAGAUGGCGUGGUAAGUCGGGUGUGAAAUUUCGGAGCUUAACUCCGAAACUGCAUUCGAUACUGCCGUGCUUGAGGACUGGAGAGGAGACUGGAAUUUACGGUGUAGCAGUGAAAUGCGUAGAGAUCGUAAGGAAGACCAGUGGCGAAGGCGGGUCUCUGGACAGUUCCUGACACUGAGGCACGAAGGCUAGGGGAGCAAACGGGAUUAGAUACCCCUGUAGU